GCCGUUUGGAUUGAUCACUUGGUCGCGGAGAAAUCCUGCUAUCGUCUCUUGGAUAGCUUUGAUUCGGUCUUGUUGUAGGACCUUUUCCCUCAGCCAUUCCGUCUUUAAUUUGAAAUAAAUAAAAAAGGUAUUAGUUAUCUAAGUUAUUCAAUAUAAUUCAGGAGAUAAUGAAAAGAGAUAUGUAACGUACUCUGAGCGUCUCUGUGGGUGUUUGAUUGACUUGUGCCAUCAUGAAUUUGCACACGUAAUAUGCACAUAGAUUGUUCCCCCCUUCUUGUCUUAAACACCACUGUACGAUAUAUAUAUAUAAAUAUUCACGACCACGACAAUAAGAAGGCUAAAAGUUAGCGAAAGUUUGUUAGCUAGUAGAACUUAGUUGUGGAUGUAUUAUGUUAAGCGGCGCUUUACAUCCACUGAGAUGUUCACGGUCAAUGAAUCUUUCCCAAACCCUAUACACAGCCAUUGUGGAUCGUGAACUAAUAAUUACAGAGUCAUAUUAUGAUAUUUUUGUAGCUGAGAUCGACAUUACGUACCUUUGAAUAAUGUUUACCAUUUGUUGAUAAUUUUCUUGUGGUUUUCUCAUUGAGUCAAAGAUUAUCAACCGGUUCUUGAGAAUUUCAAUGACCAUGAGUAUCUAGUGAAAGCUGUUUACACACACAUAUAUAUAGUCAGUCCUAUAAUGUAAAAUAAAAUAUGCAUGCACUUAAUAACUAUAUAACUCACUCAAAGUUGAAGGGGAAGAGUAUUUUUUGUUUUUCUUUUUGGUUCACAAAGAACCUCAUAAGAUUGGUGCAGACUUCUGUCUCAUGAUCUGCUGUCCACACUGCCUGCGGAGCCUUGAAAACAAUAUAAGGGUCAACGAACCCAAUACUAUUGUCAUUUCUCAUUCUCAGCUCUCUCAUUUGGUGCCUGCA
rnacentral:lncRNA from 1 species